rnacentral:rRNA from 1 species
GACGUAGGAGGCGAGCGUUGUUCGGAUUCAUUGGGCGUAAAGGGUGCGUAGGCGGCGCGGUAAGUCGGGUGUGAAAUCUCGGAGCUUAACUCCGAAACUGCAUUCGAUACUGCCGUGCUUGAGGACUGGAGAGGAGACUGGAAUUUACGGUGUAGCGGUGAAAUGCGUAGAUAUCGUAAGGAAGACCAGUGGCGAAGGCGGGUCUCUGGACCCCAACUGACGCUGAGGCGCGAAAGCCAGGGGAGCAAACGGG